rnacentral:rRNA from 1 species
CAAUAGCGUAUAUUUAAGUUGUUGCAGUUAAAAAGCUCGUAGUUGGAUUUCGGUUAAGAGCGACCGGUCCGCCGUUUGGUGUGCACUGGCUGGUUUUAACUUCCUGUAGAGGACGUGCUCUGGGUUUAACGACCUGGACUCGGAGUCUACGUGGUUACUUUGAAAAAAUUAGAGUGUUCAAAGCGGGCUUACGCUUGAAUAUUUCAGCAUGGAAUAACACUAUAGGACUCCUGUCCUAUUUCGUUGGUCUCGGGACGGGAGUAAUGAUUAAGAGGAACAGUUGGGGGCAUUCGUAUUUCAUUGUCAGAGGUGAAAUUCUUGGAUUUAUGAAAGACGAACUUCUGCGAAAGCAUUUGCCAAGGAUGUUUNCAUUAA